CAGGUUGGAACAGGAGCCCAGUCAGAAAGAAUUUGGACCUACAAUUUUACCCAGAAUAGAGUCACUGACCACAGGGUAGGAUAUGAAGUCCAAGAUAUUAAGGUUCCUGCACAGCAUCAGAUGUGUCUGACUUCUAAGGAAAAUGAGACCCCAGACACAUUGAUGGGUCAGUUCAGCAAAAACAAGAGUGGCAUUCCUGUCUGGAGAGGGUGGAGAGGAAGAGAGUCAGACACCUAUAGCACCGCGUCAUAGCCCAUGAAGCUUCUCCAGAGCAGGUGGAAGCAGUGAAUUGAACCCAGGAGCCCUUCCAUCUGGAGCAGAUGACUUCAGAGACCACAGGGCAGCUGGUCCGCAAGGCUAGGCAGUAGAGAAGGAGCCAGCAGGGGAGAGGUUCAUGCACAGCAUCAGAUGUGUCUGACUUCUAAGGAAAAUGAGACUCCAGACACAUUGAUGGAUUUUGCCCAUUUGGCUUUGGCUGGAAUUCAAUUACUCUGCCGAUCCUUGUCUCAUCAUCUAAGCACUGCUCAACUCUGGCUCAUUUUAUGGUGGUGUGAGCUGCUGAGCCUGGGACUUUGGAGUGUCAGGUGUGAGAGUCUUUUUGCAGAACCAAUGUGCUCUCUACACCUGCUGGAACAGUGAACUCUUUGUGUCAAAUUCUUCUCAAGAGAACAUACCAGAGCAUCAUUCUGGCACAUUCAGUGCUGGAACCAA